GACAAUGGGCGAAAGCCUGAUCCAGCAAUACCGCGUGCAGGAAGAAGGCCCUCGGGUUGUAAACUGCUUUUGUACGGAACGAAACGGCGCGCUCUAAUAAAGUGCGCUAAUGACGGUACCGUAAGAAUAAGCACCGCCUAACUACGUGCCAGCAGCCGCGGUAAUACGUAGGGUGCAAGCGUUAAUCGGAAUUACUGGGCGUAAAGCGUGCGCAGGCGGUUUUGUAAGACAGGCGUGAAAUCCCCGGGCUUAACCUGGGAAUUGCGCUUGUGACUGCAAGGCUAGAGUACGGUAGAGGGGGAUAGAAUUCCGCGUGUAGCAGUGAAAUGCGUAGAUAUGCGGAGGAACACCGAUGGCGAAGGCA
rnacentral:rRNA from 1 species